GAUUGAAUAGUUCAUGAGGAAAUUGGGAGAAUAGGAGAGAAUUGAUGACAGUUCGCAAUGGAUAAUUGCAUUCUUGGUCUCGAAAUGGAGAACACUCAAAGGAUCAGAGGCUACAGUCUCCAGACGUUUGCGAUUGUUGGGGCUGGACAAUAGACCCAAGCAAAAGUGAAGCUACGUGUCAGUUUUAUUUGGAUGUGGAUGCAACGUUGGUUGGAAAAUGCAGAAGAAUCGGUGUACAGAAUUUCCCAGGUGAUUGAUGACACUGUUUGUUGGUAGCCAAGGU